rnacentral:rRNA from 1 species
ACACGUGAAAUCCUGUCUGAAUAUGGGGGGACCAUCCUCCAAGGCUAAAUACUCGUUGUCGACCGAUAGUGAACCAGUACCGUGAGGGAAAGGCGAAAAGAACCCUGGUGAAGGGAGUGAAAUAGAACCUGAAACCGUGUGCAUACAAGCAGUCAGAGCAUAUAAAGAUAUGUGAUGGCGUACCUUUUGUAUAAUGGGUCAGCGAGUUAUAUUCAGUGGCGAGGUUAACCGGAUAGGGGAGCCGUAGCGAAAGCGAGUCUUAAUAGGGCGACAAGUCUCUGGGUGUAGACCCGAAACCGGGCGAUCUAUCCAUGGGCAGGUUGAAGGUUGAGUAACAUCAACUGGAGGACCGAACCCACGCAUGUUGAAAAAUGCGGGGAUGACCUGUGGAUAGGAGUGAAAGGCUAAACAAGCUCGGAGAUAGCUGGUUCUCCCCGAAAACUAUUGAGGUAGUGCCUUGUAGAUUGACUUACGGGGGUAGAGCACUGUUUCGGCUAGGGGGUCAUACCGACUUACCAACCCGAUGCAAACUCCGAAUACCGUAAAGUUUUACUACAGGAGACACACGGCGGGUGCUAACGUCCGUCGUGAAGAGGGAAACAACCCAGACCGCCAGCUAAGGUCCCGAAAUGACAGUUCAGUGGGAAACGAAGUGGGAAGGCUUAGACAGCUAGGAGGUUGGCUUAGAAGCAGCCAUCCUUUAAAGAAAGCGUAAUAGCUCACUAGUCGAGUCGUCCUGCGCGGAAGAUUUACCGGGGCUAAACUGUCUACCGAAGCUGCGGAUUUGCAUGAAAAUGCAAGUGGUAGGGGAGCGUUGUGUAAGCUGAUGAAGGUGUGUUGAGAAGCAUGCUGGAGGUAUCACAAGUGCGAAUGCUGACAUGAGUAACGAUAAUGCGGGUGAAAAACCCGCACACCGAAAACCCAAGGUUUCCUGCGCAACGCUAAUCGGCGCAGGGUGAGUCGGCCCCUAAGGCGAGGCGGAAACGCGUAGUCGAUGGGAAACAGGUUAAUAUUCCUGUACUGAUCAUAAUUGCGAUGGGGGGACGGAGAAAGCUAGGCCAGCACACUGUUGGAUGUGUGUUUAAGCGCGUAGGUUGAAGACUUAGGCAAAUCCGGGUCUUUAAGACUGAAACGUGAUGACGAGUUUCUACGGAAACGAAGUGGUUAAUGCUCUGCUUCCAGGAAAAGCCUCUAAGCUUCAGAUUAUGAUUAACCGUACCCCAAACCGACACAGGUGGGUAGGAAGAGAAUUCCAAGGUGCUUGAGAGAACUCGGGUAAAGGAACUCGGCAAAAUGAUACCGUAACUUCGGGAUAAGGUAUGCCUCUGACGGUGCAUAGCUGUUGGAGGCCGCAGAGAAUAGGCCGCUGCGACUGUUUAUCAAAAACACAGCACUCUGCAAACACGCAAGUGGACGUAUAGGGUGUGACGCCUGCCCGGUGCCGGAAGGUUAAUUGAUGGGGUGCAAGCUCUUGAUCGAAGCCCCGGUAAACGGCGGCCGUAACUAUAACGGUCCUAAGGUAGCGAAAUUCCUUGUCGGGUAAGUUCCGACCUGCACGAAUGGCGUAACGACU